AACGAGCGCUGGCGGCAUGCCUAACACAUGCAAGUCGAACGAGACCUUCGGGUCUAGUGGCGCACGGGUGCGUAACGCGUGGGAAUCUGCCCUUGGGUACGGAGCAACAGUUAGAAAUGACUGCUAAUACCGUAUAAUGACUCCGGUCCAAAGAUUUAUCGCCCAAGGAUGAGCCCGCGUCGGAUUAGCUAGUUGGUGAGGUAAAAGCUCACCAAGGCGACGAUCCGUAGCUGGUCUGAGAGGAUGAUCAGCCACACUGGGACUGAGACACGGCCCAGACUCCUACGGGAGGCAGCAGUGGGGAAUAUUGGACAAUGGGCGAAAGCCUGAUCCAGCAAUGCCGCGUGAGUGAUGAAGGCCUUAGGGUUGUAAAGCUCUUUUACCCGGGAUGAUAAUGACAGUACCGGGAGAAUAAGCCCCGGCUAACUCCGUGCCAGCAGCCGCCGUAA
rnacentral:rRNA from 1 species